rnacentral:rRNA from 1 species
UCCCCGCACAAGCAGCGGAGCGUGUGGUUUAAUUCGAUGCUACACGAAGAACCUUACCUGGGUUUGACAUAGAGGUAGUAGGGAAGCGAAAGCGGACGACCCUUCGGGGAGCUUCUACAGGUGUUGCAUGGCUGUCGUCAGCUCGUGUCGUGAGAUGUUCGGUUAAGUCCGCUAACGAGCGCAACCCUCGCUGUGUGUUACAAGUGUCACACGGUACUGCCGAUAUUAAGUCGGAGGAAGGUGGGGAUGACGUCAAGUCAGCAUGACCUUUAUAUCCAGGGCUACACACACGCUACAAUGGCCAGUACAAUGGGUUGCCAAGCCGCGAGGCGGAGCCAAUCCUAAAAAGCUGGCCUCAGUUCAGAUUGCAGUCUGCAACUCGACUGCAUGAAGUUGGAGUUGCUAGUAACCGCAGGUCAGCAAUACUGCGGUGAAUACGUUCCCGGGGAUU